UCUAUUCCACAUGGAGUUAGUGCAUCCCAACCCAUUGGCAUUGUUGGAUCUGGAAAAAAUAUCGGAAUAGAAGAUGAUUUUAUGAAGCUCACACCUAGGUGUACUGUGAAGUCGCUUGAUGAUAACAAUCGGGUUGGAACUUUUGUUGUACUAGCGAAGAUAGCUGAAAUAGUUGAAGAUGGUCCUUGGUGGUACUCUGCUUGUAUGUGUGGCAGAGGUGUUCAGGCAGAAUCUGGGAUUUACUUUUGUCAAUUUUACAACAUCCAUGUUACAAAUGUGACUCUUAGGUAUAAAUAUUUUACAAUUCUUCCUUUGUGCUUUGUUAAAUAGUGAAUUAUUUCUGCGUAGUUGUUAACCUUAGGCCAGUAUUUAUGUGCAUCUUAAAAAAAUCCAGGUUUAGAGUGAAGGUGUUGGUUGAGGAUUCAACUAGUGUUUCUAUUUUUUUCCUCUUUGAUCGUGAGGCAAGUUACCUACUGAAUAAGACUUGUGCCCAGCUGUUUGAACAACAUCUUAAGGAUGUUGAUGUUGUGUUUGGCACACAGUCUCCUCCUAUAUUCCAAGAAAUUAUUGGAAAAAUUAU